CUUGAAAUCUCCCAGUGUUACUAAUUGUAAUUUGCAGUGAGUGCAGCCCACCUAAGUCAUGCCCUUGGAAGAAGCCUGGGAGGGAAAGAUUCCUGUGGGUUGGCCACAACUUGACCUGAAGCUGCAAACCUCUGUUACACAGCCAGUCAGGGUCAGAGGCCUCAGUGGCUUGAUCCCACCUCAAGUCAUCCUGCUGGCGGCCAACGUGGUGUGGUUCUCAUGGCUUGAGGAAGGGGCCUGGCCGGGGAGAAUGAAGCCAGUUGCCAUCAACAGGCAUAAAUCCUGUCGUCACCAGUCCUAAGUCAGCAACACAUGUUGGGCCACUCGGUUCAAACUUGUCAUGUCCAUUUCUUACAUGUCCAUUGGUAAUGGCCAGUGAGGACAUCAUCGCCUGAGAUGCUUUCCUGCUCCAGUAACAAGCAAGAAAUAUAAAUAACCAGGACCUGCAGAAAUCUCCCAAGUCUCAAUGCCAUUUACAACUACUCAGGCUUUGGAUUCAGAGGGAUUGAAUGAUAAUGUCUCAUGUUGGUGAGGCUCCUUCACCUACCACUCCCCCCUGGACCAACUUCCCUCUCUCUCUCAAAACAGAGCACCUAGCCCAUCAGCCCUUUACCUGUGCCCCCGCCAUGCUGGCUGUGGGAUUGUUCUCAGAUCAUAUUCAACAAUGGACCCUUCCUUCCCUGGGACAGAAGACCUCCAGAAGCUCCCAUGACACUUGCUUCUUACGCUACCUCCAUCCCCUCAAGUCCUCGCCAAUGAAUGAAGGGGGAGUUUCCAUUUCUGAUGAGAUGUCAGUGAGGUGGGAUUUUUCAAAACAUUAACUAUUUCAGGUAUUUUUUUGGGUUAAAAAUCUACUACGGUUUAAGA
rnacentral:lncRNA from 1 species